AAAAGAAACCAACAGGGAUUGCCUCAGUAACGGCGAGUGAAGCGGCAACAGCUCAAAUUUGAAAUCUGGCUUCGGUCCGAGUUGUAAUUUGUAGAGGAUGCUUCGGCUUACGUACCGGUCUAAGUUCCUUGGAACAGGACGUCACAGAGGGUGAGAAUCCCGUUUGUGGCCGGCACUUCCGCCAUGUGAAGCUCCUUCGACGAGUCGAGUUGUUUGGGAAUGCAGCUCUAAAUGGGAGGUAAAUUUCUUCUAAAGCUAAAUACCGGCCAGAGACCGAUAGCGCACAAGUAGAGUGAUCGAAAGAUGAAAAGCACUUUGGAAAGAGAGUUAAAAAGUACGUGAAAUUGUUGAAAGGGAAGCGCUUGCGACCAGACUUGCCCGCGGAUGCUCAACCGGUCCUUCGGCCGGUGCACUCUUCCGCGGUCAGGCCAGCAUCAGUUCGGGCGGUCGGAUAAAGGCCUUGGGAAUGUGGCUCUCUUCGGGGAGUGUUAUAGCCCUUGGUGCAAUACGGCCCGCCUGGACUGAGGCCCGCGCUUCGGCUAGGAUGCUGGCGUAAUGGUCGUAAGCGGCCCGUCUUGAAACACGGACCAAGGAGUCUAACAUCUAUGCGAGUGUUUGGGUGUCAAACCCGUGCGCGAAAUGAAAGUGAACGGAGGUGGGAACCUUUGGGUGCACCAUCGACCGAUCCUGAUGUCUUCGGAUGGAUUUGAGUAAGAGCAUAGCUGUUGGGACCCGAAAGAUGGUGAACUAUGCCUGAAUAGGGUGAAGCCAGAGGAAACUCUGGUGGAGGCUCGCAGCGGUUCUGACGUGCAAAUCGAUCGUCAAAUUUGGGUAUAGGGGCGAAAGACUAAUCGAACCAUCUAGUA
rnacentral:rRNA from 1 species